rnacentral:rRNA from 1 species
AGAGUUUGAUCCUGGCUCAGGAUGAACGCUAGCGACAGGCCUAACACAUGCAAGUCGAGGGGCAGCAUUGUAGCUUGCUACAGAUGGCGACCGGCGCACGGGUGAGUAACGCGUAUGCAACCUACCUUAUACUGGGGGAUAGCCCAGAGAAAUCUGGAUUAAUACCGCAUAAUAUGUUUGAAUCGCAUGGUUUAAAUAUUAAAACUCCGGUGGUAUAAGAUGGGCAUGCGUAGCAUUAGUUAGUUGGUAAGGUGACGGCUUACCAAGACAAUGAUGCUUAGGGGGUCUGAGAGGAUAGUCCCCCACACUGGUACUGAGACACGGACCAGACUCCUACGGGAGGCAGCAGUGAGGAAUAUUGGUCAAUGGACGCAAGUCUGAACCAGCCAUGGCGCGUGCAGGAUGACGGCCCUAUGGGUUGUAAACUGCUUUUUUACAGGAAUAAUUGUCGCUACGUGUAGUGAUUUGAAUGUACUGUAUGAAUAAGGAUCGGCUAACUCCGUGCCAGCAGCCGCGGUAAUACGGAGGAUUCGAGCGUUAUCCGGAUUUAUUGGGUUUAAAGGGUCCGUAGGCGGUUCUUUAAGUCAGUGGUGAAAUCCCAGAGCUCAACUCUGGAACUGCCAUUGAAACUGAAGAACUUGAAUAUGGUUGAGGUAGGCGGAAUACGUUAUGUAGCGGUGAAAUGCAUAGAUAUAACGUAGAACACCAAUUGCGAAGGCAGCUUACUAAGCCAUUAUUGACGCUGAUGGACGAAAGCGUGGGGAGCGAACAGGAUUAGAUACCCUGGUAGUCCACGCCGUAAACGAUGAUUACUCGUUGUGCACAAUACAUCGUGCGUGACUGAGCGAAAGCAUUAAGUAAUCCACCUGGGGAGUACGUUCGCAAGAAUGAAACUCAAAGGAAUUGACGGGGGCCCGCACAAGCGGAGGAACAUGUGGUUUAAUUCGAUGAUACGCGAGGAACCUUACCUGGACUUAAAUGUAGAUUGACCGGCUUGGAAACGGGUCUUCUCUUCGGAGCAAUUUACAAGGUGCUGCAUGGUUGUCGUCAGCUCGUGCCGUGAGGUGUCGGGUUAAGUCCCAUAACGAGCGCAACCCCUAUCGUUAGUUGCUAGCAGGUAAUGCUGAGGACUCUAGCGAGACUGCCACCGUAAGGUGAGAGGAAGGUGGGGAUGACGUCAAAUCAGCACGGCCCUUACGUCCAGGGCUACACACGUGUUACAAUGGCCAGUACAAAGGGCAGCUACCAGGUGACUGGAUGCUAAUCUCAAAAGCUGGUCUCAGUUCGGAUCGGAGUCUGCAACUCGACUCCGUGAAGUUGGAUUCGCUAGUAAUCGUAUAUCAGCAAUGAUACGGUGAAUACGUUCCCGGGCCUUGUACACACCG